AUUGAACGCUGGCGGCAUGCUUUACACAUGCAAGUCGAACGGUAACAGGCCGCAAGGUGCUGACGAGUGGCGAACGGGUGAGUAAUGCAUCGGAACGUGCCCAGUCGUGGGGGAUAACGCAGCGAAAGCUGCGCUAAUACCGCAUACGAUCUAUGGAUGAAAGCGGGGGACCGUAAGGCCUCGCGCGAUUGGAGCGGCCGAUGUCAGAUUAGGUAGUUGGUGGGGUAAAGGCUCACCAAGCCAACGAUCUGUAGCUGGUCUGAGAGGACGACCAGCCACACUGGGACUGAGACACGGCCCAGACUCCUACGGGAGGCAGCAGUGGGGAAUUUUGGACAAUGGGCGCAAGCCUGAUCCAGCAAUGCCGCGUGCAGGAAGAAGGCCUUCGGGUUGUAAACUGCUUUUGUACGGAGCGAAAAGGCUCCCUCUAAUACAGGGGGCUCAUGACGGUACCGUAAGAAUAAGCACCGGCUAACUACGUGCCAGCCGCCGCGGUAAAAC
rnacentral:rRNA from 1 species